rnacentral:misc_RNA from 1 species
UUUCCGUAGGUGAACCUGCGGAAGGAUCAUUACAGAGUUCACGCCCUCACGGGUAGAUCUCCCACCCUUGAAUAUUUAUACCUUAGUUGCUUUGGCAGGCCGUGGAAACACCAUGGGCUCCGGCUUAUGCGUGCCUGCCAGAGGAAACAAACUCUGUUUUUAGUGAUGUCUGAGUACUAUAUAAUAGUUAAAACUUUCAACAACGGAUCUCUUGGUUCUG